rnacentral:rRNA from 1 species
UACAGAGGGGGCAAGCGUUGUUCGGAAUUACUGGGCGUAAAGGGCGCGUAGGCGGCCUUCUAAGUCGAACGUGAAAUCCCCGGGCUCAACCCGGGAACUGCGUCCGAUACUGGGAGGCUUGAAUCCGGGAGAGGUGAGUGGAAUUCCGAGUGUAGAGGUGAAAUUCGUAGAUAUUCGGAAGAACACCAGUGGCGAAGGCGGCUCACUGGACCGUUGUUGACGCUGAGGCGCGAAAGCGUGGGGAGCAAACAGG